rnacentral:tRNA from 1 species
GAGGGGGAGUUUGGUUAGAAAUUCCUAGCUUACAACUAGGGGACCCAGUAUAACUGGCCCCUCA